rnacentral:misc_RNA from 1 species
GAUGAAGAACGUAGCGAAAUGCGAUAAGUAAUGUGAAUUGCAGAAUUCAGUGAAUCAUCGAAUCUUUGAACGCACAUUGCACCCCCUGGUAUUCCGGGGGGCAUGCCUGUUCGAGCGUCAUUACAACCCUCAAGCUCUGCUUGGUAUUGGGCCCCGCCAGUUCUGGCGGGCCCUAAAGUCAGUGGCGGUGCCUUCCGGCUCCGAGCGUAGUAAUUCUUCUCGCUCUGGAGACCCGGUUGUGUGCUUGCCAACAACCCCCAAUUUUUUAAGGUUGACCUCGGAUCAGGUAGGGAUACCCGCUGAACUUAAGCAUAUCAAUAAGCGGAGGA